GACGAACGCUGGCGGCGCGCUUAACACAUGCAAGUCGAACGUGAAGCCCGGGCUUGCCCGGGUGGAAAGUGGCGAACGGGUGCGUAACACGUGAGCAACCUGCCCCGAAGACCGGGAUAACACCGGGAAACCGGUGCUAAUACCGGAUGCCCUCAUCAUGUCGCAUGGCGUGAUGAGGAAAUGGAUUCCGCUUCGGGAUGGGCUCGCGGCCUAUCAGCUUGUUGGUGAGGUAACGGCUCACCAAGGCUACGACGGGUAGCUGGUCUGAGAGGAUGUCCAGCCACACUGGGACUGAGACACGGCCCAGACUCCUACGGGAGGCAGCAGUGGGGAAUCUUGCACAAUGGGCGAAAGCCUGAUGCAGCGACGCCGCGUGCGGGAUGACGGCCUUCGGGUUGUAAACCGCUUUCAGCAGGGACGAUUAUGCCGGUACCUCACCAGAAAGCCCCGGCUAACUACGUGCCAGCCGCCGCGGUAAGAC
rnacentral:rRNA from 1 species